rnacentral:rRNA from 1 species
UUUGGCAUCACUAAACAAUUAAAACUUCGGUGGUUAUAGAUGAGCAUGCGUCCUAUUAGCUUGUUGGUAAGGUAACGGCUUACCAAGGCAACGAUAGGUAGGGGGCCUGAAAGGGUGAUCCCCCACACUGGUACUGAGACACGGACCAGACUCCUACGGGAGGCAGCAGUGAGGAAUAUUGCGCAAUGGAGGAAACUCUGACGCAGCCAUGCCGCGUGCAGGAAGACGGCCCUACGGGUUGUAAACUGCUUUUAUAUAGGAAGAAACCCCGAUACGUGUAUCGGCUUGACGGUACUAUAUGAAUAAGGACCGGCUAACUCCGUGCCAGCAGCCGCGGUAAUACGGAGGGUCCAAGCGUUAUCCGGAUUUAUUAGGUUUAAAGGGUCCGCAGGCGGGAUAUUAAGUCAGUGGUGAAAGCCUACAGCUCAACUGUAGAACUGCCAUUGAUACUGAUAUUCUUGAGUGUGGUUGAAGUAGGCGGAACAUGUCAUGUAGCGGUGAAAUGCAUAGAUAUGACAUAGAACACCAAUUGCGAAGGCAGCUUACUAAGCCAUUACUGACGCUGAGGGACGAAAGCGUGGGGAGCGAACAGGAUUAGAUACCCUGGUAGUCCACGCCGUAAACGAUGAUCACUCGUUGCUAGCAAUACACUGUUAGUGACCAAGCGAAAGUGUUAAGUGAUCCACCUGGGAAGUACGUUCGCAAGAAUGAAACUCAAAGGAAUUGACGGGGGCCCGCACAAGCGGUGGAGCAUGUGGUUUAAUUCGAUGAUACGCGAGGAACCUUACCAGGGCUUAAAUGCAGAAUGACAGAUUGGGAAACCAGUCCUUCUUCGGACAUUUUGCAAGGUGCUGCAUGGUUGUCGUCAGCUCGUGCCGUGAGGUGUCAGGUUA